rnacentral:hammerhead_ribozyme from 1 species
AUCCAGCUGACGGGUCCCAAAGAGGACGAAAUGCGAGUUCUGGAU